AGCUCUCAAGCAUCUCCUUUUCUUUAUUGCAAAGGUAGAUGAUUGGAUUUGGACUCUGCUGUGUAACAAACAGCUGGCCCGAAAGAUAUUAGCUGAUCCUAGUGAGACUUGGUUCUACUCGGCGUGAUAAUUAUCUAACGUCGAGGACAUCGCAAGAUGGCCAGGAAUUAUUAAUUGGAUUGCUUCUAAUCGUCUUCAUCGACAACUUAUUAUCA
rnacentral:misc_RNA from 1 species